rnacentral:rRNA from 1 species
GAUGAACGCUAGCGGCAGGCCUAAUACAUGCAAGUCGAGGGGCAGCGGGAGUAGCAAUACUUGCCGGCGACCGGCGCACGGGUGCGUAACACGUAUACAAUCUGCCUAUAUCAGGGAGAUAGCCCGGAGAAAUUCGGAUUAAUAUCCCAUAACAUAGUUGAAUGGCAUCAUUUAAUUAUUAAAGUUCCGACGGAUAUAGAUGAGUAUGCGUCCUAUUAGCUAGUUGGUGAGGUAACGGCUCACCAAGGCGACGAUGCGUAGCCGACCUGAGAGGGUGAUCGGCCACAUUGGGACUGAGACACGGCCCAGACUCCUACGGGAGGCAGCAGUGGGGAAUAUUGCACAAUGGGGGAAACCCUGAUGCAGCAACGCCGCGUGAGUGAAGAAGGCCUGUGGGUUGUAAAGCACUUUCAGCGAGGAGGAAGGUUGUAUGGUUAAUACCCAUGCGAUUUGACGUUACUCGCAGAAGAAGCACCGGCUAA